AGGUUCUUUCUGUGACAUGUUUUCAUGGUGUGGGAAUAAGACUUGGUGGUCUAAUACAGCUAAUAUGUAGGUUAGCUUCACAGCUUGUCUGUAAGGAUUGAGGCUGGGAAUGGUCAUUGGAGCUGAAAUUUAUGGUAACUUUUACUGUGGCUGCAUAAAAUGACUGUGUGAUAUCAAUGUAACAGUGAAGAAUGUAAUUUAGACAAUUUUUGUGUAUGCUUGAAAUUUUUUUUAUAAUUUUUUACAAAAAAUAAAAAAAAAUAAAAAAAUUUGUGUAAAGAUUCUCCAUUUUCAACAAGAUUGGAAGUUGUAG